UUCAGGAAGAGUAGGCCUGCAGAGAUCAGGAAAGAGGGCAAUGCAAACAGCAAGCUCUGAAGGCUUCUGUGUGGAGCCGGAUGACCUUCACCCCCAGCCCUGAGCCUCUUCCCCACCAGAGUGAAAGGGAAAGUGGACCUGAUGAUGAACGCCGAGUACAAGCUGCUCAAGCUUCUCUCCGUGAAGGCCCGAAUAACGAUGUGGACACGGUGUAUAAAAUGAUUCCCACAGCAGGAUGGGAAUUAACAUUUGUUUGUUUGUUUCAGACCAACUAUUUAUUGUCAGCGUACAGAGACUUCUGAAGGAGUCGAGCUGAGGAACAGCUGAGAGAAACUCUCUGAUGACGGGCAUGAAAGCAGUGUGUGCCAGGAAACAAUAAAGCAGGGGGUUGGAGACAAAACUCAGCAGCUCAGGAAGCACACACACCACAGGCAUAAUUUCUCAUCAAUGUCAGAAAGUGCUUCUCCUGCUCUAAGAGGUGGUCACCAGCAGCCAACACAGUUUAAGAAGAGAGAGCAUCUGUCUUCAUCAACCCACUCAAGGUGUGUUUACCUACUAGAAACUCAGAGAAAAAGAAAUGUAAACUAACUAAAUGUGGUUGAUGUCUUCACCUCUCUUUGCUCUGUCUCCAUUUCUCCAUUUGCAAACUAAGAGCUUUGAACAGAGCUAAGGGCUCAUCUGGGUCUGACAUUCUAUAAUUCUAUGAAUUCAGCCACUGGCUCUAUGACUGGUAUUGAUUUUUUUUAAGGGGCUAUCUUUAAUAUCAAAUGAUACUUCUUUUUUCUCCCCAGAUUUUGGUUUUGUUGGUCAUGAUCUUAAUCACAUUUUGAUCAUUUUGUCUAUUUUUGUAUCUCUAGUGUCUAGCACUGCAUAUGCACGGUACAUGGCAAAUCUUCAUCAUGCACUAAAUAUUGAUUAAAUUUUUGUCUCUCCUUUCAACUGGCAAGCCUCCUGGAGCUCCCGGUGCUGAACAGGAGAAGACUCAAUACGGUUCUUGCACAAUGAGGCUGGCUGCCCUCUUGUUAUCAAGAGUCACUCAUGGAGCAUCUAGAUUGGCACCUCUUCCAAUUCAAAGCACAUUCUGGGACCUGCAGUGGCUGUUAAUCAGCAAGUGUUUACUGAGCUUGCUUUAAUGUGCUUUGCUCCCUCUCUCUCAAAAAAAAAAAAAAAAAAAAAUGGUGCCCCUUACUUCUGUUUCUUUUAGGUAAGAAAUAAAUAUUCUAAGUUAGUUGAGGGAGUUGGAUUUUUCUUUGUAUAGUUCACCACUCCUACUUCAGGGCAUUACACAUAGGAGGAACUCAAUAUUUUGGGGUUAACAGAGUUCAGUGAUUUAAUAAACACCACAGUCUUUUCAAGCACAGUACCCUAGAUCUUCUAUGGCUAGGAACCCUCCUUUCCUACUUCUGGAUCCUACCGUGGGGCUAGAUGCACCUCCCCUUUUUAGGUCUCUUCAAUGUCAACGCCUCUACAAUUAUAGCCACCUCUUUUCCCUCAUGAUACUCUUGCCAGAUCACCAACUCGUUCUAUUCAGAAGAGUGCAAUUGCCGUAAAGAGAAAGCAGGAGGCUCUCACCUUCUGCUGCGAUGUCACCCUGUAGCUGGCUUGUGGCUAGCUUUUGGUUUACCCACUUGAAUUCUGCCAGGGUCUGUUUUGUGAAAGAAUUAAAAAGGCAAUACUAUGUAGUUAAACUUCAAAGGAAAUAGUUAAAAGAAAGAAGCACAAUUUCCAUUAUCUUUCCAAAUGGCUAAACGCAUUUCAGCCCCUUAUGUUUCCAAAAACUGUUUAUAAUGUACUUUUCUCUAUUCUAGGUCACUGA